GGCUGAGAACUCUAGGGAGACUGCCGGUGAUAAACCGGAGGAAGGUGGGGACGACGUCAAGUCAUCAUGGCCCUUACGGGAUGGGCUACACACGUGCUACAAUGGCGCGUACAAUGGGAAGCUAACUCGCGAGAGUGUGCGGAUCUCAAAAAGCGCGUCGUAGUCCGGAUUGGAGUCUGCAACUCGACUCCAUGAAGUCGGAAUCGCUAGUAAUCGUGGAUCAGAAUGCCACGGUGAAUACGUUCCCGGGCCUUGUACACACCGCCCGUCACACCAUGGGAGUGGGUUGCACCAGAAGUAGCUAGUCUAACCUUCGGGAGGACGGUUACCACGGUGUGAUUCAUGACUGGGGUGAAGUCGUAACAAGGUAGCCCUAGGGGAACCUGGGGCUGGAUCACCUCCUUAAACG
rnacentral:sRNA from 1 species